UGGUGAAGUGGUUCAAGCAUUUGGCUGCUAACCAAAUGGUUGGUGGUUUGAAUCCACC
rnacentral:tRNA from 1 species